GUCUACUGCUGAACACCUGCAGUCGUACAUGGUAACCCAUUUGCUGGGUGGAUUAGUGGCGAACGGGUGAGUAACACGUGAGUAACCUGCCCUUAACUCUGGGAUAAGCCUGGGAAACUGGGUCUAAUACCGGAUAGGAGCGCCUACCGCAUGGUGGGUGUUGGAAAGAUUUAUCGGUUUUGGAUGGACUCGCGGCCUAUCAGCUUGUUGGUGAGGUAAUGGCUCACCAAGGCGACGACGGGUAGCCGGCCUGAGAGGGUGACCGGCCACACUGGGACUGAGACACGGCCCAGACUCCUACGGGAGGCAGCAGUGGGGAAUAUUGCACAAUGGGCGAAAGCCUGAUGCAGCGACGCCGCGUGAGGGAUGACGGCCUUCGGGUUGUAAACCUCUUUCAGUAGGGAAGAAGCGAAAGUGACGGUACCUGCAGAAGAAGCACCGGCUAACUACGUGCCAGCAGCCGCGGUAAUACGUAGGGUGCGAGCGUUAUCCGGAAUUAUUGGGCGUAAAGAGCUCGUAGGCGGUUUGUCGCGUCUGUCGUGAAAGUCCGGGGCUUAACCCCGGAUCUGCGGUGGGUACGGGCAGACUAGAGUGCAGUAGGGGAGACUGGAAUUCCUGGUGUAGCGGUGGAAUGCGCAGAUAUCAGGAGGAACACCGAUGGCGAAGGCAGGUCUCUGGGCUGUAACUGACGCUGAGGAGCGAAAGCAUGGGGAGCGAACAGGAUUAGAUACCCUGGUAGUCCAUGCCGUAAACGUUGGGCACUAGGUGUGGGGACCAUUCCACGGUUUCCGCGCCGCAGCUAACGCAUUAAGUGCCCCGCCUGGGGAGUACGGCCGCAAGGCUAAAACUCAAAGGAAUUGACGGGGGCCCGCACAAGCGGCGGAGCAUGCGGAUUAAUUCGAUGCAACGCGAAGAACCUUACCAAGGCUUGACAUGUUCCCGAUCGCCGUAGAGAUACGGUUUCCCCUUUGGGGCGGGUUCACAGGUGGUGCAUGGUUGUCGUCAGCUCGUGUCGUGAGAUGUUGGGUUAAGUCCCGCAACGAGCGCAACCCUCGUUCCAUGUUGCCAGCACGUAAUGGUGGGGACUCAUGGGAGACUGCCGGGGUCAACUCGGAGGAAGGUGAGGACGACGUCAAAUCAUCAUGCCCCUUAUGUCUUGGGCUUCACGCAUGCUACAAUGGCCGGUACAAUGGGUUGCGAUACUGUGAGGUGGAGCUAAUCCCAAAAAGCCGGUCUCAGUUCGGAUUGGGGUCUGCAACUCGACCCCAUGAAGUCGGAGUCGCUAGUAAUCGCAGAUCAGCAACGCUGCGGUGAAUACGUUCCCGGGCCUUGUACACACCGCCCGUCAAGUCACGAAAGUUGGUAACACCCGAAGCCGGUGAGCUGCAUGAUACUCCUCGAUGGCCGUGCUAGGCGCGCACGCGACAGUAGUCGUAGGUAGUGCCG
rnacentral:rRNA from 1 species